AGUUAAUAGCACAGCAAUGGCUGGCUUCAGCUGUUAGCUCUUCCGUGAAAGGAAAUGACUUCAUGUUUGGAUUCAGAGCUGACCAUCUACUCCUAAGAAGCAUGUUGAUCCUGAUACAAGAUGUUUCAGAUGGAAUCAUGAGUUUUCCCAGGCUCUCCCUAGCGACUAAUUUUCCCUCAGAAGGGGAGCAGCAGUGAGCAUUAACCAUUCAGGACCAGAGAGAGGCUUCUAGAACUGAGGCAUAUACAAGAAGGAGGAGGGGAAACCACAAAUUCCAUGGUAGAGACUUGAAAUGACUGCAUGGUUUCAUCUGAACUAAGCAAUGAUUUCAUCAUCAUAUGCUAUUUGUUAUUUCCUGUUUAAGUUGUUUUUAUCAAUACAAGGAAAAUGAAUCAGUGAGUCAUGGGAGACAACAAUUAUUUGGCUUGUGGUUUUCUGCUUUCAUCCAAAGAGAACGAUAGUCCAGAAGUGUCCUGCUGAGCUGGCUGGAAACUGUGGCUUUUUUGUGUGAAUGUAGCCGAAGUGCUGUUUGGAAUGGCUGCUGGGACAACUAACUACAAAGGGACACAUCAUAACAACAUCAUCAACAUUUAGCAUCUAUCCAAAGUGUUAUACUUUUCAAAUAAUCCUCACAACAACUCUAUGACAGACCAGAAUUGGCAGAUGGACUAAGAGAGAGUUAUCCAUUCACCUAGA